rnacentral:rRNA from 1 species
GAUGAACGCUGGCGGCGUGCCUAAUACAUGCAAGUCGAGCGAAGAGAUGAGGAGCUUGCUCCUCUGACGUUAGCGGCGGACGGGUGAGUAACACGUGGAUAACCUACCUAUAAGACUGGGAUAACUUCGGGAAACCGGAGCUAAUACCGGAUAAUAUAUUGAACCGCAUGGUUCAAUAGUGAAAGACGGUUUUGCUGUCACUUAUAGAUGGAUCCGCGCCGCAUUAGCUAGUUGGUAAGGUAACGGCUUACCAAGGCAACGAUGCGUAGCCGACCUGAGAGGGUGAUCGGCCACACUGGAACUGAGACACGGUCCAGACUCCUACGGGAGGCAGCAGUAGGGAAUCUUCCGCAAUGGGCGAAAGCCUGACGGAGCAACGCCGCGUGAGUGAUGAAGGUCUUCGGAUCGUAAAACUCUGUUAUUAGGGAAGAACAAAUGUGUAAGUAACUAUGCACGUCUUGACGGUACCUAAUCAGAAAGCCACGGCUAACUACGU